AGGACGAACGCUGGCGGCGUGCCUAAUACAUGCAAGUCGAGCGGAGUUUAUCCUUCGGGAUAAGCUUAGCGGCGGACGGGUGAGUAACACGUAGGCAACCUACCCCUCAGACUGGGAUAACUACCGGAAACGGUAGCUAAUACCGGAUAAUUCCUUUUCUCUCCUGAGAAAAGGAUGAAAGGCGGAGCAAUCUGCUACUAAGGGAUGGGCCUGCGGCGCAUUAGCUAGUUGGUGAGGUAACGGCUCACCAAGGCGACGAUGCGUAGCCGACCUGAGAGGGUGAACGGCCACACUGGGACUGAGACACGGCCCAGACUCCUACGGGAGGCAGCAGUAGGGAAUCUUCCGCAAUGGGCGAAAGCCUGACGGAGCAACGCCGCGUGAGUGAUGAAGGUUUUCGGAUCGUAAAGCUCUGUUGCCAGGGAAGAACGUCCGGUAGAGUAACUGCUACCGGAGUGAC
rnacentral:rRNA from 1 species